rnacentral:rRNA from 1 species
CAGUCGCCGCGGUAAUACGGAGGGAGCUAGCGUUGUUCGGAAUUACUGGGCGUAAAGCGCGCGUAAGCGGUUACUCAAGUCAGAGGUGAAAGCCCGGGGCUCAACCCCGGAACUGCCUUUGAAACUAGGUGACUAGAAUCUUGGAGAGGUCGGUGGAAUUCCGAGUGUAGAGGUGAAAUUCGUAGAUAUUCGGAAGAACACCAGUGGCGAAGGCGACUGACUGGACAAGUAUUGACGCUGAGGUGCGAAAGCGUGGGGAGCAAACAGGAUUAGAUACCCCCGUAGUCCCUGUCUCUUAUAC